CUUGGUCAUUUAGAGGAAGUAAAAGUCGUAACAAGGUCUCCGUUGGUGAACCAGCGGAGGGAUCAUUACCGAGUUAUCAACUCCCAAACCCCUGUGAACAUACCUAUAACGUUGCCUCGGCGGGACCGCCCCGGCGCCCCUAGCGGCCCGGAACCAGGCGCCCGCCGGAGGACCCAAACUCUUGCUUUGAACAGUGGCAUACUCUCUGAGUCUCACAAACAAAAAUAAAUCAAAACUUUCAACAACGGAUCUCUUGGCUCUGGCAUCGAUGAAGAACGCAGCGAAAUGCGAUAAGUAAUGUGAAUUGCAGAAUUCAGUGAAUCAUCGAAUCUUUGAACGCACAUUGCGCCCGCCAGCAUUCUGGCGGGCAUGCCUGUCCGAGCGUCAUUUCAACCCUCAGGGAACCCCUUCUGGGGGGGACCUGGUGUUGGGGUCCGGCCGCCCGCGCCGCCCCCGAAAUGCAGUGGCGACCUCGCCGCAGCCUCCCCUGCGUAGUAGCACAACCUCGCACCGGAGCGCGGAGACGGUCACGCCGUAAAACGCCCAACUUUCACGAGUUGACCUCGGAUCAGGUAGGAAUACCCGCUGAACUUAAGCAUAUCAAUAAGCGGAGGA
rnacentral:rRNA from 1 species